AGCCACCUUUGGACCCUUUUCUCUCGAGUUCUCUAUGAAACUAACCCUUAACCCUAAUCGCCAUCACUCAAAAUUAAUCCUAAACCUUUGAAUUCAUGUCCGAUCUGUGGCGUCCUAUGGCUGUACGAAGCCUCUACUUGUCUCUUAUCCCCUUGGUUAUUCGAUUAUAUGGUUUUUAUGAAAGAACCUCGAAGAGAUCUACUCAAGAUCUCGUUCAAAGCUCUUCAAGGGUUCGUCAAUUGUUUGCGAGUAACUUCUAUUUAAGUUCCAUGGUUCAAAUCUCUGGUUCAAAAACCAGGUUCUCUUUACCCCUCCUUUUUCUCCUCAAAACCCUAAUAUUUGGCCAUGAAUACGUCCUGAUCUUUGUAGAUCUGGAAGGAUUCUGAGUUGUCAAUGACUGUUCUUUAAAGAUGUCUUAUUUAUUUACCGUUAACAAAUUUUAGCACUAUGUUUUGGGUUCUUUGUUUUAAUCUCUGCAUGUUUGAAAUGUUUUUCAAGUUUCUGUGGUUUUUUCUUUAAGUUUCUCUUAUUCCUCUACUACUGACUGAUUUAAAACACAAUAAUACUUCUGGUUUUUGACUUCUAUGACUAGGGUUUCCCGAAAGUUUCUUUCUCCAAAAUGUUCGAUAGUUUUGAGUGUUUAAUCUCCUAUUUCUUGUGUGUUUUAACCGAUUUCAUGAGGUUUGCUUUAACCCUAACUCGUUUAUGCUAAAAGCCUUAAUUUUUUAACAUUAUUGUUUGGAUUCUGAGUUUGUCUAGGUUACUUGUGUACUGACUUUUCCCUGUGCUUUGGUUUUUGUGAUUCUUUCUUCUAAUGUGCCUUUAUUGAUGGUCUUGGUUCGAAUUUUGUAUUGAUUCUAUAUGUCUAUGUUCAUUUUUUUGCUUAUUCAUGGUAAACUUAUACUUUUCUCCUUAAAACAUUGAUUAAUUUGGAUUCUUGAUUUAUCAAUUUAUUUUUUUAAGACCUAUGUGCUAAUUCCUGACUAUUCCCUUUAUUUACAAUAUUGAUUAACUUUCUUACCUUAUUCAAUUAACAGUGAUAUUCAUGGUUCUUUACCGAUCAUUUCCUUAAUUAAACUUCUAUUUAUUUACCCCUAAUUGCUCGUUUGAUUUUCUUUCCUUAAAUAUAUUCUACCUCUACCGUUGGAUAAUUACCUUUUAGUUGAGGGAAAAUUAUACUAAUUGACGUAUAAUUAAUAAUGUAGCUUCCUUAAUUGCAGAAAGAUUGAUUCCCUUUACCUUAUUUUUAUUUCUCUUAAUUUCUAUAUAUACUCUCCUUUACUCCUCACUUCAGGACACGAACAUUAGUUUAUCUAUACUCUCAACUCUCAAAAGCUCUCUAUUCUCUUCUGUUACUUGUAAUUAUCAC
rnacentral:lncRNA from 1 species